rnacentral:rRNA from 1 species
AACGAACGCUGGCGGCAGGCUUAACACAUGCAAGUCGAACGCUCCGCAAGGAGAGUGGCAGACGGGUGAGUAACACGUGGGAACAUACCCUUUACUACGGAACAACUCCGGAAAACUGGAGCUAAUACCGUAUGUGCCCUUCGGGGGAAAGAUUUAUCGGUAAAGGAUUGGCCCGCGUUGGAUUAGCUAGUUGGUGGGGUAAAGGCCUACCAAGGCGACGAUCCAUAGCUGGUCUGAGAGGAUGAUCAGCCACAUUGGGACUGAGACACGGCCCAAACUCCUACGGGAGGCAGCAGUGGGGAAUAUUGGACAAUGGGCGCAAGCCUGAUCCAGCCAUGCCGCGUGAGUGAUGAAGGCCUUAGGGUUGUAAAGCUCUUUCACCGGAGAAGAUAAUGACGGUAUCCGGAGAAGAAGCCCCGGCUAACUUCGUGCCAGCCGCCGCGGUAAUAC